rnacentral:misc_RNA from 1 species
GAAAUGCGAUAAUUAAUGUGAAUUGCAGAAUUCAGUGAAUCAUCGAGUCUUUGAACGCACAUUGCGCCCCCUGGUAUUCCGGUGGGCAUGCCUGUCCGAGCGUCAUUGCUGCCCUCAAGCACGGCUUGUGUGUUGGGCUUCCGUCCCUGGCAACGGGGACGGGCCCAAAAGGCAGUGGCGGCACCAUGUCUGGUCCUCGAGCGUAUGGGGCUUUGUCACCCGCUCCCGUAGGUCCAGCUGGCAGCUAGCCUCGCAACCAAUCUUUUUAACCAGGUUGACCUCGGAUCAGGUAGGGAUACCCGCUGAACUUAAGC